AGGGGUGUAGUUUAGUGGUAAAACUACGGUCUCCAAAACCGUUGUUGAGGGUCCGAUUCCUUCCACCCCUGCCA
rnacentral:tRNA from 1 species